rnacentral:tRNA from 1 species
GGGGUUGUAGCUCAGUGAUAGAGUGCUUGCCUCUCAUGCAUGAGGCACUGGGUUCAAUCCUUAGCACCA